rnacentral:tRNA from 1 species
GGGUCCGUAGCUCAGUUUGGUAGAGCGUCCGGCUCUUAACCGGCAGGUCGAGGGUUCAAAUCCCUCCGGACCCG